AUACGUAGGGGGCGAGCGUUGUCCGGAAUGAUUGGGCGUAAAGGGCGCGUAGGCGGCGCGGUAAGUCUGGAGUGAAAGUCCUGCUUUCAAGGUGGGAAUUGCUUUGGAUACUGCCGCGCUUGAGUGCAGGAGAGGUUAUCGGAAUUCCCGGUGUAGCGGUGAAAUGCGUAGAGAUCGGGAGGAACACCAGUGGCGAAGGCGGGUAACUGGACUGCAACUGACGCUGAGGCGCGAAAGUGUGGGGAACAAACGGGAUUAGAUACCCUGGUAGUCCACACUGUAAACGAUGAAUGCUAGGUGUAAGAGGUAUCGACCCCUUUUGUGCCGGAGUCAACACAAUAAGCAUUCCGCCUGGGGAGUACGGCCGCAAGGUUGAAACUCAAAUGAAUUGACGGGG
rnacentral:rRNA from 1 species